CACCCCGCCAUUAGCGGUGGUUUCAUUAAAUUCGAAGAGUAAUCAUAUCCUCAACAAUCGUGAAACUUAUCUUCUAUAUCAAAAUGAUUCCAGUCCGACAGGUUAUGUUCGGCGUCGUUAGAUUACCUCUCGUUAUGCAGCCGGAACAUUUGAAACAUCCGACGUCUGAAAGUAUAGAUCUAACGGAACAAAACAUAGCAGGAAAUUUUCUAGAGUCUGGGACGUAAUACGAGAGUCCUCUUACCGUUUCGACACUCGAGUGAUAUCAUCGCCCGCAGGAGCGGAUUCAGUCAUUUGUGGCAGCCUGCGUUCGUCUCCUUCUCGACACUGUGUAAGUGGAUCGAUUUACGAGAUACAGAGGAGUCGUUCGAAAGGAAAUCCUUUAAUUAUAUUCAACGUACGGGUCCAGUUGGGAAAUUUUCACUUAGCCUUUAGGCAUCGUAAAUACGCUUCCUGAUUUGUUGUUGAAAAAAAGGAUUGAUCCAGAAGAGGUCGAUUGUCCGCUGGUAUCCAGUUUAUAAAGUAGCUCCAUGGAGCGUAUAGAACCUAAUAGCAUAGGAAUCAGGAUAACAUAGGUAGGCUCGGAUGCUUACCGUCGGAGAACAAGGAGAAAGCCUGCGACAAAUUGGACACGCAUGAUGUUUUCAUUUUCGUGUAACCACCUGAUCAACCAAAGAGAUCCGGAAUACACUAAACGUCUCACGUGCAGCCAUGUUACCAUUCCGAAUACUCUGAAAAUGUAAAUGUAACAAUUGAGACACGGACUAACAAUUGAGUUCAAUUUGCACGAGUCGUCUGCGAACGAUGCUGACCACGUGGACGGUCAGGGGAAUUUUGCAAGAUCUUGAAUUAAUAUAGUUUACUUAUCAGGAAGCGAUUAACGACACAGUGCACCGGUUAUAAAUAUUCAAGAUUACGAAAGCGGCUAUGUGUAAAAACAGCACUGAAAGGAAAAUCUACGGUUACAGGACGGCUGCACUAUUUCCUAAUGAUCCUGUCCGAACGUUAGGCCGCUGAAGAUUUUAUCUUUACUGAUACUGUUUUACUAGUUAUGUCAUCAACUUAUUAAGCGGUAAAUAGACGAAUUUUAAUUUCUUGUCUCCUGAUAACCAGGAAAGCUCGAAGAAUGAAUGUUAAUGCGGGAAAGAAGGUUUCUCAGUCGGUGGAAGCGUGUAAACUUCAUGUGUGAAAAAGCACAACCACAACGAUCGAAAUUCUCUAGAUAGAAUAAGAUUUUUCAAACGCUUAACACGAUAUAGAAUGAAAUGAAAAGUGAUUUCGAAACGUUACGCUGUAAACGUAGCCCGUCUACGCCACUACCGUUUGACACUCCCAGUUUCUAAUCUCGUCUAAUCUUCGAAGAUAUACCUGCACGCACAGUCGCUCAUCCUACCGGUUGAUUUAAGAGGAAACACUGAAUCGAUCGAAAUGAAACGAAUCGAUUCACUACGGGCACCAUUAACUAUUGCGAAGAAAGGUUACGCGUAACGCGCAACUUCGACGUCGAUUAAGUAUUUUGCUCGGUUCGAAGUAAGUUUCAUGGACGCUCAUUAAAGAAGCAGAUUAUCAACCUAACGUUUAAGCGUUUCCGGAAAAAGUAAUCCUUCCCCGUAUUUGCGUAAACUGCGCGACCGUGGGUGGGGUUGUCGAAACCGCGUGUUACCGCUAAAACACCGGUUACCCUUAUUGUCAUCCCACCGCGUGAAAUUAUCUCCCCACGUGCGCGAUUCGUCUCACUGUCGGCCGUUUUUACCUUUAAUUACUAUUCGUUACGAUAUAUCCGGCCAUUAGGUGUAUAAAAUCGACUAAGAACGAAAUAACAGAGUAGAGGUACACGGUAGGCGCUAAACGGUUGCGAAUUAGUUGCGUCAGAGAUCUUUUUGCGGUUUAAAUCCACGACGAAAAGGUUGACGAAAGGGUUAACGAUGGCAAACGGUCACGGUCUCUUCCCGAUAACCACACGAUUUAUCGUGGAUUUUACGCGCGCAACGGGCCAGAGGGAUUUUUAAGCGUAAACCCGGAACGUAUAAUGUUAUUACAAUCGUUUGUCGAGCCGUGUGAGCGUACGCAACGUACUCUAUUCCGCAUUAUCCAAAGCCAUUGUUCCGCGCGGCAAUCGGGCAUCGUGGGAUCAGCGAAUCAUCCGUUCGCCGAUGAUUUCUAUCCACGGAAGUACACGAUCGACGUUGUACGGAUAUUUUUCCCGUAAAGACUUUAUAUUCGAGCUCUGUUGCUCGACGAUUACGUGGCAAACAGCGGGGUUGGCCGGGUCGAAAUGAAGAAAGGGUCGCCGCUGAAAAGUGGGAGGGAAUUGAUAGUUGGUAAUCUGGUAACGAGUAUAUCGGAGUCGCCUAUCCCCCGACAUAAUUGGACAUUAACGAGGGCUCCUGAUGUAAUGCGUUUCGCUUCAUUUAAUUUUACUGGAUUGGUUAUCGCGGGAGGAGAACUUGCGCCGAGAGGGCCCCCCAAGAACACCUGGAUCAUCUGUUAACUCUGAAGGAAAGGUUCUAUCCAACGUUAUUAAAGAAGACUUGUUAUUUAUUUAUAUAUUUAUUCGUAUGUACACGGAUAAAAUAAUCCUUUGGUAUACAAUGAUGAACGUAUAGCAUUAGCUCAAAAGAAGAAUGAUGGAUCUGCUAAAAUUGUAUAAUGGGUUGCCAAAAAACCAAAGGGUUGACAAAAGCUUGGGGUCUUGCGUGGCAAAUUUCGACUUGUCACACUGAAAUUUUAUACAAUGGAACAUGUUACAGCUGUCUACCUACUACGUUUAGGAGUCAGCUCUAAAAUAUUGUGCCGAAGUUUCCUUGCAUUCCAUUGAAUUAGUAAAUGCUAUAAAAGUCUAGAGACAGUGCAAGCGUUAGGAUCGAGCCACCAUGGUCCAUAUUCAAAACUCUUGGCUCGAAUGUGUAGGGAUUCACGUUCUCCAGGCGGCGUAAUAUCACGCACAUCAUCGUCACGGAGAUGUGUACGCGUGCUCGACUGGAAUCGAGGGACGAAGACCUUCGUUGAACGAGGAGAGGUCGCGAGGCAGGACGUUGAACAGACAGAGACGCAUACAGACAGGAGAGAUGAGCGAGAGAGAAUCAAGGGAGAAACAGGAAUGGAAGGAAAGAAGAAUGAACAAUCGAGGGAAAAAGAGAAGAUUGUAAAGAAGAGGAAGAAGAGGAGGAGAGAAGCGUGCAGGAAAGCAGCGGGGAGGGGAGAAGGCGCUGGCAAUCAGGGCGAAUGGGGUACGGCACACGCCACACGCCAUCAUAAUGGAAUAAU